AGAAGCGCCAGACUGUUUGCUCUGCACUGUUCCUGAAGCAACUGGUAUCCUUCAAAAUAGUGGGCUUUGAUGUGGCAGUGCAAAGAAUGUUCUAGAUCAGUAUCCUCAAGCUCCCUCCUGCUCAAACAUUACAGUUGAGUGCUGAAUUCAUCAGGAUUACCACCAUUCCUUUGGUUUCCAGCUUGAUCAGUACUCCACUCAGCUGAUCAGAGUCUUCAAAAGGAAAGGGGGCAUGGCAGCAAAGAAUAUCAGUACCAGACUAUUCAGUAUUUUUAUUGCAAUGAUAUUUAUGCUAUGUUUUCC